CAUAUAUUGUGCUCUUAAGGGAUGAUUAGGCUAAUUGUUUUUCUGGAAAUCCUAAUAAUAAUUCUCCUUCAACGUUCUUAGGUGGACUUCAUUAAUAAUAAUAAUAAGAAUAAAAAGAUUAAGAAUCCCUAUCAUCAUCAUCGUCAUCAUCAUCAUAAUAAUACUAAUAAUAAUAACGACUAUUUGGCCUUCCCGAAAACAAUGAGAAUCGCAGAUGGAGGUGGAUGUGGUGGUGUGAUCCCCCUCCCUGCUCGGUGGGGGGUCGGGGGUUGGGUAGAGGUUUUAUUUUUAGGAUCGACAUGUAAAGCGCCGUCAGUUAGGUCAAGGGUAUAUACCCUCCGCAAGGUGUUUCUUGACGGAGAGAAUUUGUGGGUUCUCAGCUCCGUGUGGAAGCCCUCCAUGUCCUGCCUCCUCCUCCUCCUCCUCCUCGGGCAGCAGGACAUCGCUGAAACAAUUAGGGAUACGAGCGCUGACUGUUUCUUUCAUCUCUCUCUCCCUCUUCACAUUUCAACUGCCCUUACAGACUCCAAAAGACUUGCUCGCACUCUACCUGUGUACCAGACCUCCAGAAUGGCUUUGACCACCAGUCACCUCUCUCCUUGAAGAUGAUGAUGACAACCCCGAGCUGCACGCCAUCAUUCAGAAAGGACGGGCGGGUGUGUGGUGACCCAGGGCGUUGAGGGAAGCCAGACUCUAGGGCUUCAGGCAGAUACAACUCCCUCAUCAUCAUCACCUGCUUCACUCCAGCCCAGACUUUGCCACAGCUUCAUCUUAUUCAG